GGCAUGUUGAAGCUUUGAGAGAUAACCGAGAAGAUUUGCUCUUAUGUCUUCCAAUAUUUUGCGGGAAUUUUUGUUUUCCAUGUUACUAGGAGCAACAUGUAGAGUAUAAUCAGGCCCAAAAUACUCAUAGUACUCGUGCUGUGGCAUUUUGUUGUCGACUUCCAUUCCAAGGGCUACUCCCGUCUCAUAGCACCAGCAUCGAGCGACGUUUCGAAUAGUAUAGCCUCCGCCACCGAGCAGUAAAAGCGGUACAUUGAAUGACCUCAUAUAUUUAACACAUUCAGCAUGACCUUUGAUUGAAAGAUUGAAACAUCCCAACCUAUCUCCAGAU
rnacentral:misc_RNA from 1 species